ACCCGUCUGAGCUGCCAUGAGGUUGGGGAGAGAGCCGGAAAGUCAGUCAAGAGCCCGAACAGGAAUCUGAGCCCUGCCAGGAAGUCAAGGCUUCGCCCUAGAAACGGGCCUGCUGCGCAUUAGAACUUCCCUGCUUGAAGGACAGCCUGAGGACAUGCACCGAGGAAGGAAGAAAAAGGACCUUCCCUACUGCUCUAAGAACACUACACUAAUCUGAAAUCAAAUGCAUACCCGUUGACUACUGAGCAGGGAGUCUGAGGGCACAUAUGCAGUUUCAGAGACAUUAAGGCUGGAAGAGACUUUGGAAAGAGGUGAUGGUCAAGAUGUCAUACAGCCUAAAUGGCCGAUCCAGGAUGCAAGCCCAGGCCGCCAAACAAUCCAGCACUGGUUUUUCUCUCUGUGGUUGUUAACCAACCAGGGGUGGCAGGAUGUACCAGGAAAGAGACUUCAGGAAGAUUUCCUGUAUAUAGUUGAGCAUAGACUUUGUGGCAAGCCGUGAACAAAGCUGUAUACAGUUCACUCAUUCACGUCCCAGACAUGGUAACUUCCAGAUCAGAUAAGAUGGAACACGCUUGGGGCAAUAUAGCACUAGUUCUUCCUGCCCCGUCCUGCUGCUUUUGAAAUCAUUUCUAACCAUUUUUGAGUGAAUCUUCUACUAGUUGUGAGAUACCAUUAGAGCAAUACAACAAAGUUACAGAGGU
rnacentral:lncRNA from 1 species